AACGAACGCUGGCGGCAUGCCUAACACAUGCAAGUCGAACGAGACCUUCGGGUCUAGUGGCGCACGGGUGCGUAACGCGUGGGAACCUGCCCUUAGGUUCGGAAUAACUCCCCGAAAGGGGUGCUAAUACCGGAUAAUGUCUUCGGACCAAAGAUUUAUCGCCUUUGGAUGGGCCCGCGUUGGAUUAGCUAGUUGGUAGGGUAAAAGCCUACCAAGGCGACGAUCCAUAGCUGGUCUGAGAGGAUGAUCAGCCACACUGGGACUGAGACACGGCCCAGACUCCUACGGGAGGCAGCAGUGGGGAAUAUUGGACAAUGGGCGAAAGCCUGAUCCAGCAAUGCCGCGUGAGUGAUGAAGGCCUUAGGGUUGUAAAGCUCUUCUACCCGGGAUGAUAAUGACAGUACCGGGAGAAUAAGCUCCGGCUAACUCCGU
rnacentral:rRNA from 1 species